rnacentral:lncRNA from 1 species
AGCCAAGGGAGUAUUCAUGGGUUGGGAAGGAUAAUAAAAAUAGAAAAAAUCAGCAGCCAUAGACUUCCCCCAUGGCCGGCCACAAAUGUGGCAAGUUUGAAGGUUUCAAACUUACUAUUUUUAGGUAAGGGCAAUUUUAGGAAGGCAUGAUAAGUGGAGGGGUUUGAAUGCAAAUUUAAGGAGUCUUCAAGGGCUAUUUUUC